CAGAGUUCGUGCCCUUACGGGUAGAUCUCCCACCCUGUGUUAUCGUUACCUUUGUUGCUUUGGCGGGCCGCCCGGCCUCGGUCAGGCUACCGGCUCACGCUGGUAAGCGCCCGCCAGAGGACCCCUAAACUCUGAAUGUUAAUGUCGUCUGAGUAUUAUAAAAUAAUUA
rnacentral:misc_RNA from 1 species